rnacentral:rRNA from 1 species
UACAGAGGUGGCAAGCGUUGUUCGGAAUUACUGGGCGUAAAGGGCGCGUAGGCGGUCUUCUAAGUCUUGUGUGAAAUCCCUCGGCUCAACUGAGGAACUGCACGGGAUACUGGAAGACUUGAGUUCGGGAGAGGGAAGCGGAAUUCCGAGUGUAGAGGUGAAAUUCGUAGAUAUUCGGAAGAACACCAGUGGCGAAGGCGACUUACUGGACACAUAUUGACGCUGAGGUGCGAAAGCGUGGGGAGCAAACAGG